CCAAUAGCGUAUAUUAAAGUUGUUGCAGUUAAAAAGCUCGUAGUUGAAUUUCGGAAUUUUUUUAUCGGUUGAAUCAACAGGUUCGUACUGAUUUUAAGAAUUUCUACCUUCUGGAGAACCUUAAUGUCAUUUAUUUGAUGUUUUGGGAAACCAGGACUGUUACCUUGAAAAAAUUAGAGUGUUUAAAGCAGGCUUAUGUCUGAAUAUAUUAGCAUGGAAUAAUGAAAUAGGACGGCAUGGUUCUAUUUUGUUGGUUUCUAGGAUCACCGUAAUGAUUAAUAGGGAUAGUUGGGGGCAUUAGUAUUCAAUUGUCAGAGGUGAAAUUCUUGGAUUUAUUGAAGACUAACUUCUGCGAAAGCAUUUGCCAAGGAUGUUUUCAUUAAUCAAGAACGAAAGUUAGGGGAUCGAAGACGAUCAGAUACCGUCGUAGUCUUAACCAUAAACUAUGCCGACUAGGAAUCGGACGAAGUUAAUUUUUUAAAGACUCGUUCGGCGCCUUACG
rnacentral:rRNA from 1 species